rnacentral:rRNA from 1 species
GAUGAACGCUGGCGGCGUGCCUAAUACAUGCAAGUCGAGCGAACAGAUGAGGAGCUUGCUCCUCUGACGUUAGCGGCGGACGGGUGAGUAACACGUGGAUAACCUACCUAUAAGACUGGGAUAACUUCGGGAAACCGGAGCUAAUACCGGAUAAUAUAUUGAACCGCAUGGUUCAAUAGUGAAAGACGGUUUUGCUGUCACUUAUAGAUGGAUCCGCGCCGCAUUAGCUAGUUGGUAAGGUAACGGCUUACCAAGGCAACGAUGCGUAGCCGACCUGAGAGGGUGAUCGGCCACACUGGAACUGAGACGCGGUCCAGACUCCUACGGGAGGCAGCAGUAGGGAAUCUUCCGCGAUGGGCGAAAGCCUGACGGAGCAACGCCGCGUGAGUGAUGAAGGUCUUCGGAUCGUAAAACUCUGUUAUUAGGGAAGAACAAAUGUGUAAGUAACUAUGCACGUCUUGACGGUACCUAAUCAGAAAGCCACGGCUAACUACGUG